AACUUGGAGAUACUUGGACUGGCCGGCAGCGAAUGGCGGAAGAUGAGGCGAUUAAACCCGAGGCCUGAAGCUGGGGUCCAGGACGAUGCCCUACAGGUAUUUCUCACUAUGUUGUCCUGUGUUGAUACCACAUAGAACAGGAAUUUGGAAAUUGGAAUUAUGACCCGACACAAUAAAUUGAUCAUCCAGACAAUCCCCAUUGAUACUAUCUCACCUCAAACAUUUGGAAGUCUAGACGCAGUUGCUCCACUCCCUUCUUCACAUUAAUUAUCAAGACGCAUAUCAUCAUUU